rnacentral:misc_RNA from 1 species
UCCCCGUUCUCCUGGGCAGUCUCUCCAUCUCUGGUGCCCGCGACCGGGAUGUCAAAGGCUGGUAAGGUUCUUCGCGUUGCUUCGAAUUGAACCACAUGCUCCACCGCUUGUGCGGGCCCCCGUCAAUUCCUUUGAGUUUUAAUCUUGCGACCGUACUCCCCAGGCGGGAUGCUUAAUGCGUUAGCUGCGCCACUGACGGGUAAACCCGCCAACGGCUAGCAUCCAUCGUUUACGGCGUGGACUAC